rnacentral:rRNA from 1 species
CUACGGGUCGCUCCAGUGGGGAAUCUUAGACAAUGGGGGAAACCCUGAUCUAGCCAUGCCGCGUGAGCGACGACGGCCCUAGGGUUGUAAAGCUCUUUCAGCAGGGAAGAUAAUGACGGUACCUGCAGAAGAAGUCCCGGCUAACUCCGUGCCAGCAGCCGCGGUAAUACGGAGGGGACUAGCGUUGUUCGGAAUUACUGGGCGUAAAGCGCGCGUAGGCGGAUUGUUAAGUCGGGGGUGAAAUCCCGGGGCUCAACCCCGGAACUGCCCUCGAUACUGGCAGUCUUGAGUUCGAGAGGGGUGAGUGGAAUUCCGAGUGUAGAGGUGAAAUUCGUAGAUAUUCGGAGGAACACCAGUGGCGAAGGCGGCUCACUGGCUCGAUACUGACGCCGAGGUGCGAAAGCGUGGGGAGCAAACAGGAUUAGAUACCCCGGUAGUC